rnacentral:ncRNA from 1 species
AUGGCCGAACACGGGAGUCCGGCAGCGGGCUGAGAGGAAGGCGCGAGUCUUCGACCGUCACACCUGAUCCGGAUCAUGCCGGCGCAGGAAGGCCUCUUGCGGGUUCC